rnacentral:rRNA from 1 species
GACAGAGGGUGCAAACGUUUGUUCGGAAUUACUGGGCGUAAAGCGCGUGUAGGCGGCUAAGUAAGUCGGGCGUGAAAUCCCACGGCUCAACCGUGGAAGUGCACUCGAAACUGCAUAGCUAGAGUCCUGGAGAGGAAGGUGGAAUGCUUGGUGUAGAGGUGAAAUUCGUAGAUAUCAAGCGGAACACCGGUGGCGAAGGCGGCCUUACUGGACAGUGACUGACGCUGAGACACGGAAGGCCAGGG